rnacentral:rRNA from 1 species
AGUGAACGCUGGCGGUAGGCCUAACACAUGCAAGUCGAACGGCAGCACAGUAAGAGCUUGCUCUUACGGGUGGCGAGUGGCGGACGGGUGAGGAAUACAUCGGAAUCUACUUUUUCGUGGGGGAUAACGUAGGGAAACUUACGCUAAUACCGCAUACGACCUACGGGUGAAAGCAGGGGAUCUUCGGACCUUGCGCGAUUGAAUGAGCCGAUGUCGGAUUAGCUAGUUGGCGGGGUAAAGGCCCACCAAGGCGACGAUCCGUAGCUGGUCUGAGAGGAUGAUCAGCCACACUGGAACUGAGACACGGUCCAGACUCCUACGGGAGGCAGCAGUGGGGAAUAUUGGAAAAUGGGCGCAAGCCUGAUCCAGCCAUACCGCGGGGGUGAAGAAGGCCUUCGGGUUGUAAAGCCCUUUUGUUGGGAAAGAAAAGCAGCAGGUUAAUACCCCGCUGUUCUGACGGUACCAAAAGAAUAAGCACCGGCUAACUUCGU